CAGAAAGUAGUUUUAACAAAAAUUUAGGUUUUGGAAAUCUAAGAUGGCUUAACCAUGGGCCCUUCCUGA
rnacentral:tRNA from 1 species